AAGUAGAAAACAAAAUUAUUGUAUUUAGUUUCGACCUAAAAUUUUGGUGCUGGCCCACCUCUACUUA
rnacentral:tRNA from 1 species